UGGGGAAUAUUGGACAAUGGGCGCAAGCCUGAUCCAGCAAUGCCGCGUGAGUGAUGAAGGCCUUAGGGUUGUAAAGCUCUUUUACCCGGGAUGAUAAUGACAGUACCGGGAGAAUAAGCCCCGGCUAACUCCGUGCCAGCAGCCGCGGUAAUACGGAGGGGGCUAGCGUUGUUCGGAAUUACUGGGCGUAAAGCGCACGUAGGCGGCUUUGUAAGUUAGAGGUGAAAGCCCAGGGCUUAACCCUGGAAUUGCCUUUAAGACUGCAUCGCUUGAAUUGUGGAGAGGUGAGUGGAAUUCCGAGUGUAGAGGUGAAAUUCGUAGAUAUUCGGAAGAACACCAGUGGCGAAGGCGACUCACUGGACACAUAUUGACGCUGAGGUGCGAAAGCGUGGGGAGCAAACA
rnacentral:rRNA from 1 species